UACGUAGGGGGCAAGCGUUGUCCGGAAUUAUUGGGCGUAAAGAGCUCGUAGGCGGUCUGUCGCGUCGGAUGUGAAAAUCCAGGGCUCAACCCUGGACCUGCAUUCGAUACGGGCAGACUAGAGUUCGGCAGGGGAGACUGGAAUUCCUGGUGUAGCGGUGAAAUGCGCAGAUAUCAGGAGGAACACCGGUGGCGAAGGCGGGUCUCUGGGCCGAUACUGACGCUGAGGAGCGAAAGCGUGGGGAGCAAACAGG
rnacentral:rRNA from 1 species